AACGCGAAGAACCUUACCUGGGCUCGAAAUGCAGGAGACCGGGGUAGAAAUAUCCCUUUCUCGCAAGAGACUGCUGUAUAGGUGCUGCAUGGCUGUCGUCAGCUCGUGUCGUGAGAUGUUGGGUUAAGUCCCGCAACGAGCGCAACCCUCAUCCCUAGUUGCCAUCAGGUCAAGCUGGGCACUCUAGUGAAACCGCCCCGGAUAACGGGGAGGAAGGUGGGGAUGACGUCAAGUCCUCAUGGCCUUUAUGUCCAGGGCUACACACGUGCUACAAUGGUCGGUACAAACCGUCGCAAAACUGCAAAGUGGAGCUAAUCGGAAAAAGCCGGCCUCAGUUCGGAUUGGAGUCUGCAACUCGACUCCAUGAAGCUGGAAUCGCUAGUAAUCGCAGAUCAGAACGCUGCGGUGAAUACGUUCCCGGGCCUUGUACACACCGCGUGUCU
rnacentral:rRNA from 1 species